CAGUCGCCGCGGGAAAACGUAGGUGGCAAGCGUUGUCCGGAAUUAUUGGGCGUAAAGGGCUCGCAGGCGGUUUCUUAAGUCUGAUGUGAAAGCCCCCGGCUCAACCGGGGAGGGUCAUUGGAAACUGGGAAACUUGAGUGCAGAAGAGGAGAGUGGAAUUCCACGUGUAGCGGUGAAAUGCGUAGAGAUGUGGAGGAACACCAGUGGCGAAGGCGACUCUCUGGUCUGUAACUGACGCUGAGGAGCGAAAGCGUGGGGAGCGAACAGGAUUAGAUACCCGGGUAGUCCCUGUCUCUUAUAC
rnacentral:rRNA from 1 species